UACGGAAGGCAGCAGUGGGGAAUAUUGCACAAUGGGCGCAAGCCUGAUGCAGCCAUGCCGCGUGUAUGAAGAAGGCCUUCGGGUUGUAAAGUACUUUCAGUCGUGAGGAAGGUGUUAAGGUUAAUAACCUUAGCAAUUGACGUUAGCGACAGAAGAAGCACCGGCUAACUCCGUGCCAGCAGCCGCGGUAAUACGGAGGGUGCGAGCGUUAAUCGGAAUUACUGGGCGUAAAGGGCACGCAGGCGGUUAAUUAAGUUGGAUGUGAAAUCCCCGGGCUUAACCUGGGAAUGGCAUUCAAGACUGGUUAGCUAGAGUCUUGUAGAGGGGGUAGAAUUCCAUGUGUAGCGGUGAAAUGCGUAGAGAUGUGGAGGAAUACCGGUGGCGAAGGCGGCCCCUGGGACAAAGGCUGACGCUCAUGUGCGAAAGCGUGGAGAGCAAACAGGGAUUAGAUACC
rnacentral:rRNA from 1 species